AGAGACUAGCGGCGCACAUAAUGAAAUAAGGGAGGUGGAAACUAGCAAAAGAUCCCUACGUGGUCAGACCUGAAAAGAUGGACAUAUUCUUCAAAAACUGAAUCUUGAAAGGGUCUAAUUGGAUUCUUUACAUGCGCUACCGAUUACCCAGAAGCACAUGUGAGAAGAUGCGCAGAGAAAUGGUCUGCUACAGAAUAGCAAGCUAACGUUAGAUGCCUUUACUGAAAAAGGCGCAGUAUCUAGCAAUGCAGGCCGGCGAAUUGCCAUUAGCGAAGAAACCUAGUAGUAACAUUUAUGCACGAGCUUAUUAACGCAGAUAUAUUUUUAUCGCGCAGCCGAUUAUAUUGUAAAUACACCGGCUAAUCGAAUCGGCGGGUCAUCCAGCCAUUCUUUGGAGACACCGCGGUUAUCAGCGACGCAGGCCUGUUGGAAAGAGGCUCUGAAUACAUUGAGAUAUUCUACCGAAGCGAUGUUUUAUGCCGCCAGCAUAAUGUAACGGAAACUUUAUUAUUCACACUAGUAAGAGAAUCUCGAUUAUCGCAACUGAACGUCGCUGGGAAGACAAUAAGCUUGUUGGCAAUGCGACCGUCGUUAGGAUUUUAAUUUUUCAGGUUAUUGUUUGUUUUUCGAGGUUUUUGAAGGGAAAGCCACUUGUGUCCAACAAUCCCGACAUCUACGCUGUAGUCAGGAGAUCUAACAAACACUCAGUUAACCUCAUAGCCUGUGCAAUCACAUUGUCUUUUCGUUAAACUUGACGCCUGGAUCUGCUAUUGAGGACCAUGGAUCAGUAGGCAAUGUCGGAAUGAUUUUCACGAGAAAGACUAAGCCAGAGAUCUUGCGAUAGGCUACCAUGAGGAAGUGAAGUAGAUCGUGCAUGGUUCCUUAGUGUAAUCAGAAGUGGAGGACAACGGCACUCGAUUCGAAAGCCUGACGUCUCGUCCCCAAGUGAUAUCGAACAAGAUUGGAGUGUACAAGUGAAAGACACAUUCCUGCAAAGGCCAACCUACUUAUCCCGCC
ensembl:lncRNA